UACAGAGGUCCCAAGCGUUGUUCGGAUUCAUUGGGCGUAAAGGGUGCGUAGGUGGCGUCGUAAGUCGGGUGUGAAAUCUCGGGGCUUAACUCCGAAACUGCAUUCGAUACUGCGGUGCUUGAGGACUGGAGAGGAGACUGGAAUUUACGGUGUAGCAGUGAAAUGCGUAGAGAUCGUAAGGAAGACCAGUGGCGAAAGGCGGGUCUCUGGACAGUUCCUGACACUGAGGCACGAAGGCCAGGGGAGCAAACGGG
rnacentral:rRNA from 1 species